rnacentral:rRNA from 11 species
GGUUACUGUCACACUACACUGAACACAUCAGACUCUUCUGAUUUUGGGAGCUAAGCAGGGUCCUGUCUUCUUUGUACUGGGAUGGAAGACCACCUUCAGGUAGAGUUAGGAGAGAGAGUGCCCA